CUCGGGACCGGAAAGGACGAUGUGGUCGGGGUGCGCUGGGGAAGCCAGUGCCAGAGGUAAGACACCCUUAUUAGGUGGUGUUGAGAGAAAAGAGCCAAGAAAUGCCCCCGUGAGGCCAGCGUGGGUGAUGAUUCUCUGCUAAUUAAUUGUAUUUGGAAGGGUGUAAGUUGCUGCCUCAAGGAGACCGUUGUGUGUUGAGGGCUGGAAAUGCUGUCUUCUACAGCUCCUGACACCUGGGCUGGGCAGACACUCAUAGCAACUUUGUGACGUUCCUGGCAAUGCAACAUCACUUUACACAGGGAGACUGAGCAAGAGAAACAGCCACUUGCCUGUGGUCAUGGGGUGGGAGAGUAAAUCCAGUCCCCAGUACUCCAUCUCGGGUGGGAGCAGAUGUCAGAAGGGGACAUUUGAACACAGACUUGAAGGAGGAUCUCUGAAUUGACUGAAGUAACUGAAUUAAUGGAGAGAUGCAGGAGUGAAAGCUUGAGACAGCUGGGAACUGAUGCACUAAACCAGGCAACAGAUGAUGGAGAUGCGGCUGCUGCGGCCUCCGGGGGACACUUUGAGAACCACCGCUGCAUUGUGUGCCCAGUCCGGUUGGGUGCCUGUAGGUGCAGACCCUGAGAUGGAGCUGGCAUGCUUCUGUCUUGGUCUCGGGUUCGAUCAGCUGGGGAAUCCAGCUGCCAGGCUGUGGAGUCACUCAAGCAGCCCAUGGAAAGGCCCGCAUGGCAAGGAACUGAAGUCCCCCCUCCAGCUGGGGCUGACUUGCCCAUCCCAGGAAUGAGCCACCUUGGAAGCAGAGCCGGCAGCGUCAGUCAAACCUUCAGAUGAGUGCAGCCCGCAAACCAGCCAGCCAAAUGGAUCCCAAAUUCCUGACCCAGAGAAAUCAUGAGACCUACUAAAUGACUCUUGGAACACACCUGUGUGACUACCAUCCAGAUGCAGAUGAAGAACGUCCCCAGGCACCAGCACACUCCCUCCUGCCCAUCCCCCAGCAGCCCCAGAGAACAAACAACGUCCAAGCCUGAGGUCUGGGAUCUGCCACCAUUGACCCUGCACCUGGGUGGGGUCCAUCUCAGGAGAGAAACCCAGGACGCACAGAGAAGCUGCGGAGGAUGUCCCAGCAAGAGCCCAGAGCUCGGGGCGCAAAUGCUCGCCUUACUGGGGGUGGAAGACAGAAAAAUACCUCUCCUCUCAGGUGCCAGUUCUAAAAGCAAGAACCAAAAAGUAUCUUGACAGAUGACCCUGAUGUGAAACCAGCACAUUCUAGAGUGUCACCCGACCACACAGUGAACAGUUUGCCGACCCCGCUGCCAGGCAGAUCUGCUUUCCUCUGGCCACAGCUCCUCUUGGCUUUAUUAUUCCCAUUUCACAGAUGUGGAAAUGGAGGCUCUGGGAGUUUAAGUGACUAAAGCCGCAGGAGUGACGGCCCAGGCUUUGGGACCUUGUGACUUUGGGUACAUAACUCCCCCUUCCUGAGCAUCCCAUUAGCUGAAGCACAGGUAACAAGAUGCAUUCCUGAUGGAGCUGCCUUCUCAAGCAUGUCACACUACAUCUUCACACAGGCCUGGGACACCGCUAUUACCAACCCCAUCUUACAGCCGGAAACCCCGAGGCUCAGCGAGGAAAGGGAUGUGCCUGAGGGACAUGCACAAAACCAGAGAAAUGUAGGCAAAUCUCAUCUUGCAGCGUUCUUGUGCAAUUUGAGUUGAAUACGAGAUGACAAUGUGAAUGGACCUGAUACACACUUGGUGCUUAAUAAAGGCUUGCUUGAAGUCUCACAGCCAGUGACUGGUGGAAGGAAGAAUUCACUCCCAGGUCUGUCUCACCCCGGAGCCCUUUUCAGCCCCUCCUUCCACGUGAAGCAAUGAGAAUGGUGCCUGGCACAGAAUGAGCCUUCCAGAAGGGUUAACUUUGUCAAAAUAUUCCUUUCAGAAAGUUUGAAAACGUGACUCUUAUGCAGAAGGUUUAUUUAACUCAUGAAUGAGAGAACCAGCAGGAUGGUUCAAUGGAGGACAAGAUGGCAAAUUAGGUAGAAAACUGGUUAAUGUCUUACAGUGACAAAACCAUAAGCUUUAGCUUUAUUUUUAGUUCAGGACAAAACCGUUUGCAACUGUGCAUCUUUUACAAGUUAAAGUAUAACUUCACCGAGUAGGAAGUCUGAUCAAUAAUAAACAGCAAAGUCAAACAAAGGUAUGUCUCCUAGAGAAUCAGGUGACCCAGUCAGGCUGAUCAGACAGCGUCUGAGAAUGACCUCGAAAGGGCACACUGACUUCCUUUUGUCUUAUGUCUCUGUCUUGGAUAUUUUUCUUUACAACUGUUAUUACCACCAGUACCACUACUAUUACUAUGAUUCGGCUUCUCUCUGCUGAAGGGCAGCUCACAGAGCUCAUAGGUUCCUUAGAAGGACACACAGACCCCACUGUCCCCUUCACACAGGGGCCCAGGGCAGAGCCCUCGCCCACAACUGAUAGUCUGGGACAACACUGGCCAGAGAGCAGAUCCCACACAGGCUGAAGUGGGGUGGGGUUGGGGGCCAGCAGAAGAGUCCUAUGGCCCUGUUGUGUUACUAACCAUGCCAUGGAAACAUCUCUAGCGCAUCACCUGUCAAGUAAAAUAAAGCAGCCCAUACCUGAGAAGUGGAGGGGGGGGUGUGUGAUCCCAUGUAGGUCCAUAUGUGUAUGUAUGUGCAUUUGUGGUGUGCAUACGUUUAUAAGUAUAAAUGCAUUUGUAUGUACAAGUAUGGAUACAUUGAUUUAUAAGUGUGCAUGUAGGAAAGCUCUCUGGAGAAAUACCGGUGGAAAGGGAGGUAUGGACUGAGAGUUGUCGACAGAUGACCCUGAUGUGAAACCAGCACAUCUCAGUCCCAGUGCGGGGAUGUGAGGAUGAAGGGGGAACAGUCCUGUAGAACCCACUGCACUGUUUACGUUGGUGACCUGCAACGUGUCUUCCUGUGUUACUCUCUUCCUGUAUGCUAUCUAAAAUGUAUUCGUAUAUGUACGUAUACAGCGUAUGGUAGAUUUCUGGCAGCUUGUCCCAGGGACUAAGAAUGGGAGGUGGUCUUUCCCAUCGGUUUCCCCCCCACCCCCUGCCCCGUACUCUGGCUUCGCGUCAUCGUUAUUAUUUGGGACCAUGAACACCCCUCCGGCCCCGCCAUCUCUGGGGACAGAGCCCAGGCUUGCAGGCGGGGAUCCCGGACGCCGGCCCCCCUGGGGUCCCGCGGGGUGAGCCGGAGGAAGGGGUGCUGGCCUCGCAGGGCGCUCUCGCCGGCCUCCCGGGCUGGGCCGGGUCCGCA